UUUUUUUUUUUUUGAAGAAAAGAAGUAGGAUGACACAUACGUGUAUAAAGACAAAAUCACAGCUAUCCACUUUUAAGUGCAUACACAAACUCCCUGGAACCCUUUUGUCUCCCUAAAAUCCUCAGACAUAAUCCAAUAGAUGUUGAAUUAUGGAUUCUCUUUGCACCUCAGUCCAUUCUCUAGGAUUAAAUUUCUUUACGUUUUCUCAAACCUUUUAGCCUUGUAGAGGGGGGCUUCCCAUAAAAAGAGAAACGGGAAACAGUUUUAUGAUCAGUCUUUCAUUUUCCAAGCGGGGACUAUGGGAUCAUGCUCCUUCAUUCAGUGUCUUACCUGGGAGCUCCUCUCUGCUUUGCAAAAUGAAGGCAUGAAUUCAUGGGGGUGGGGAGCAAGGGCGCCCACGGAGGAUGUGGUCCUGGAGGAGGACUGAGAAGCUAAGCGCUCUGUUCUUGCCUCAAGAAGCUCAACGUAUACCAGGGAAGAUGAGCAAGUGGGUGCUAAUUAGAGAGUGCGAUGCGAGGUUAAGAGUGGUGUGUACAGAACAGGUCCUGAACGGCCUGGCAAGAGGAGCUUUCUGACAAGGGGACCAGAACACUGGCCAGUGCAUUCAGGGAGUUACAAGUAGGCACAGAGACAGAGCUCCCAUUGUGGCUCAGUGACAACAAACCUGACUAGUACCCAUGAGGAUGUGGGUUUGAUACCUGGUUCAGGGGAUUAAAGGAUCUGGCACUGCUGUGGCUGUGGUGUGUGGGCCGGCAGCUGUAGCUCCAAUUCUACCCCUAGCCUGGGAACUUCCAUGUGCCUCUGGUGUAGCCCUAAAAAGCAAAAAAAAAAAAAAAAAAAAAAANAAAAGAGGUAAAUAGGUGCAGAGACCUGGAUCAGAAGGGGAAGCCAGGAUCACCUAGAAGAGGACUUGGACCUUAGUUAAGAUGAAUCAUAGUGAGAAGAGUAGAAAUUAAGAGGAAAGAAAUUUAUGGAAAUGUCAUCAAAAGAGCUGAGGACCUGGAGUUCCUGUUGUGGCACAGCGGAAACAAGUCCAACUAGUAUCCAUGAGAAUGUGGGUUCGUUCAGUGGGUUGGAGAUCUGGUAUUGCCCUGAGCUGUGGUGUAGGUUGAAGAAGAGGCUCAGAUCCCGCGUUGCUGUGGCUGUGGUGUAAGCCAGCAGCUGUAGCUCCAAUUAGACCUCUAGCCUGGGAACCUACAUAUGCCUCGGGUAUGGCCCUAAAAAGCAAAAAAAAAAAAAAAAAAAAAAAAAAAAAGGUGGGGGGAGCUGAGGACCUGUUGCUUGUCAAGGUGAGGAAGAGAUACUUUUCUGGAGCCACACUCAGCUCUCCACCACCUCGCUGCCCCAUGGUGAGAGAAUGACUUGUAGCUGGGGAGAUAAGGGAAGAGGGGUUCCUCUAGAAGGUGGUAGGAAGGUGGGACCCCCAACUUCUUUAGCCCAAAGUCUCUACCUCUUAAUGAGGAUGUGACUGUCUCCACUUCCACUGGCAGAUGUCAUGGUCACACUCCAGCUUCUCUUCUAGGAAAGUUCAUACAUAGCACAGCCCACCUUGAGGGAGCAAUAGAGAAAGUGUGAAUGCAUCGAUUUCCAGCCCGGGAGCUGGGCCUUUCACAUCCAAUUUAGGCAAUGGUUACCCUUGAGUCACCCACAGCACUUCAGUGUGGCUGGUUGGAUAAGAAAGGCUUAUAGUUCGUGUUACUCCAUGCGCUAUGCUUAGGUUGGGUCUCUGGUAAGAAGCUAUAUUUUUAAAUCAUUUUCCCCAAGUUUUCCAAAGCCUGUGUCUCAAAAUUCACCGACUCGGAACAAGUCAAUGUUUUCGACACUUUGUUAGACAUGGUUCCAAAAAAUAGAUAACUUGCCAAUGGUCACUGAGGCAGAUAGUGUCAGACCCAGGAUGAGCCUUUAUAUCUAUGGUCAGUAUCACUGAGCUUGAUUUCUGGGUCUGCAUACAACAAACACUAAACUCAAGUGUCAGACUGUUGAACCUAAGAGAAAAACAAUACACUGGGGGGGAAAACUACUAUGAAUAGUAUGUAUCAGUUUCAUUUAUACAUUUUUAAUAGCACAGUGUUAUCUCUUUAACAUAGCUUGGUGCACAUAUUCUACAUUGUUAGUUGUAGAAAAAUUAAAGAACACAAAAAAGAAAAAGAAAAAGGUAUUAUACUUCCUAUUGUUGCUAUUUGAGAUAUGUGUGUAUGUGAAUGUGUUUAAACACAUUGUUUUUACACAUCUCUAAAAUAGUACUUGCAUUUUUUGUUCACAUUUUGAUUAGAUAAAAUAUCAAACAUCUAUCUUUAGAAAUAAAAAUACCUCUGAUAUUUUUAGUUACAAAAUGUGAUAGAUGGUUACACACUGUCACAUUUUACAGAAGUGCCAUAAUUUGCUUGACCUACUGGACAUCUAAGUUGCUUCCAGUUUUGUUCUUAUAUAUAAUUCUGCUCUGGAGUUGCCGCUGUAGUAUAGCAGGUUAAGGACCCAGCACUGUCUCUGCAGUAGCUCUAGUCGCUGCUAAGGAGCAGGUUCAAUCCUUGGCCCAGGAACUUCCAUAUGCCAUGGGUGUAGCCAAAAAAAAAGUUCUGUUCACCCACUUAAUUUUUGAAUUAAACUUCUGUUUACUUUCUUUGUUUCUCUUCAUUAGAAAUAAUUCCACUGCAAAUGCAUGAAAAAACUGGUCACAUUUAAUUAAUUGCUUCACUGAAAUAAUUUCAGUUUUUUAAAAAAUAGGAAACAAAUUGUAAUUCGCUUUUCUGUUAAGAUACCUCAGGUAUCUUUUCUAUGUUGUGCUGAAUAAUUUACAACGUAAAUGCAAUUGAUGAGUAAUUUGCUCACAAAGUGUAAUUCAACAAACAUUAGCACUACACUGGAGACACCUUCAGGAGAUUACUCAAUCAUCCAGGUCCUCAAGUAUCUAAGAAUCUGCAAUGGAAGGAAGACUAGGAGCUUCCUAGUGUAGCUGUAAGGCAGACCAUCGGUGCCAUCCGAAAGGCACCGAUGCCUAUUGAAACUCUGAGGGGAGUCUCUCUGCUGGUUGGGGGGAGGAGAGAAUACCUCAUGGAACAGCAAUCAUUUGGAAAGUGUUACAUUUCAUAUGUAAACAUGGAAGAAAGUCAACACAUUAUAAAGAUAAAUUAUAGAGAAAAAUUUUGACUCAUUAGACAUCUUUCAAAAAAUUUUACAUCCAAAAUGAUUUAUUUUAGUUUUACUAUGAUGAUAGGAACUGUACCAAAUAGAAUAUUUAUUAUCAGAAAGAAACUUGCAUCUGAAUCCCAGUGAGGCUCAUUUCCUCCACAAAGAAUAGGGAAGACAUACAGGAUCUAAGGACUCCACAAAAUAUUAAUUGGUACUGUUCUUUAAUGUGCCCUUGGAGGAAAUCAAGGUUUCUAGAUGCUAUGUCAUACCUCAUCUAAUCUCUGAGUCACACAUCCCAGGAUGGCGGAGCUAACACUAGGAUCCAGGCGUCCUGACCCAGCUUCCUGCUCCUUCCAUCACUCAAUAUGGCUUUCCCAAGGGCUUCUAGGCAAAUUUAUUAAGGGCAAGGAUUCCCAGCCCAACAGGUGCAGAAAUGUGAGAGGAUGCUUCACCUGUCAUAUUGAGUUGACGAACUUUUUCCUGCCCGUCGCUGAGACUGAGUUUCAUUCAACAUUCAUUCAUUCAACAAGUGUGUACGGAGUGGCUAUGAUGUACCUGGCAUUACACUAAACACUGGGGACCCAGCAGGGAAUGAGCCAGACCAUUGGAAACACGCCUGUCCAGACAUUGAUGUCUGCGGCUUGACUUGGAGAGGUGAGGGUGGGAGCAACCAGGUGUGGAUCUGGCUCCAGGGAAAAUGAGGGGAGUUCAAAUGUUCCACUGCAACCUCCAUGCUCUGUGCAGACCUCCACUUUCUGAUCAACGUUCUGGAAAUUCCAUUACAACAUGCAAAUGAUAUUCCCAGACCGAGAUAGAAAGCCAUGCCCUCUGCCUGUUACCUGCCUCUCUGCAGCCCACUAGAUCAUCUCACCCAAAAUUCACACUCACUCUGACUUUUUGUCCAAGAUCAAUCGUUCCUCCAAUGAUUGGUUGUUUGCUUGGCUCCGGCCCUUUGUGGUCAGUGACUUUAUCACAUUCUCCCAGCUCUUCAGUGUACCUUCAAUGAGGUGAAAACUCAUAAAACUGAGGGAGCUUCAAAGACUCCAAGAGCAGAGGGGACCUGAGUGAUCACUUGGCUCACCUGACUCUUUUGACAGAUGGGAAAAACUCAGGUUCAGAGAGGUGGAGUGACUCCUCCAGGGUCAUACAGCUGGAACCUACUCUUACUGCAACUGGAAUCCUUGGGAUCCUAAUUCCCAAUCCAGUGUGUGGUGUUUUAUCCCAUGUUCCCACUUGGAAAAGGACUCACCUUACAUCUGACCUUUAACCUCAUCAUCUUACAUCUGACCUAUAACCUCAGGUUCAUGGCCUCUAUUCACUCUUUCUCUGGGCUCUAUGAUGGACACAGUGGAGCAGGGACACUUCAUACCAAGAGUCUCACCUCAAACCUGUGUUCCUUCGUUGUGCUGGCAGCUCCAUUUCCAUUCUCUUAAUCUCCAUGGCCUCCUGCAGCUCCCCAGGAAGCAGAUGUUUGAUUUGUUCUUUGUCCCUGGUUCCUGGUAAAUGGCUCCUAAAACUCCUGGAAUCUCCAGAGUGAUGAGUUCUGUUUGUAUGAUAUGAAAUGACUGGUGUCUGGGAACCCUUGGGAAGCUGCGGGGUGAAGGCAGAACAUCAGGCCUUGAUCAGAGGGUAGAACUUGCAGCCCCACCUCCCAAACCCCUGGGAGGGGAAAGGAGCUGGAGACCGAGCUAAUCACAAAUGGCCAAUGACUUCAUCUAUCACAUCUAUGUAAAGAAAACUCCAUAAAACCUCUAAAUGGUAGGAUGUAGAGAGAGCUUCGUUAGUGAAUCUAUGGAGGUGCUGAGAUGGUGGCAUGUCUGGAGAGGGUAUGGAAGCUCUCUAUCCCUCCCCGCCUCCCUAUACCUUGCCCUAUGCAUCUCAUUCAUUUGACCGUUCUUGAGCUGUAUCUGUAAUAAUAAAUUGGUAAACAUAUAUUUGAUAUCAGAAGUGUUAUGAGUCAAAGUAGUUCACCUUCUGAUUGGAAAGCCCAGAAUUUGUCCCCUCAGCCUCUACUCUUCUCUGACCACACUCACAUUCCAUUAUUUCAUCCUUUACUAUGGCUUCAAAUGCCAUCUCCUCUCCAAACAGCUCCCAAAUUUAUGCCACCAGCACUGUACUUGCUCAUCAAAAGCCUGAAGGUUCUGCUGGAAGAAAGAGUAGCUAGUAUAUAAGAAGAAGUACUGCCUUUGGCCUAUCUAGCAUGUUAAACCAUGGAUGGCUUGUGGAGUUUGUCCCCAAAUUGUGAAUUUUCAGUGAUUAAUAGAUUACUAAGUGACACAAGAGGUAACAUGAAUUUAUUACAGUCCCCACUGCUGCCUGGACAUCUAAAAGGCUUCUCAAGGAGUUCCCGUUGUGGCUCAGUGGGUUAAGAACCCAACUAGUAUCUAUAAGGAUGUGGGUUUGAUCCCUGGCCUUGCUCAGUGGGUUAAGGAUCUGGUGUUGCUGUGAGCUGUGGUGUAGGUCGCAGAUGCGGCUUGGAACAGGCAUUGCUGGGGCUGUGGCAUAGCCCGGCAGCUGCAGCUCUGAUUUGACCCUUAGCCUGGGAACUUCCAUAUGCCACAGUGUGGCCCUAAAAAGCAAAAAAAA
rnacentral:lncRNA from 1 species